CCCAGAAGGUGGCAGCUGCGGGCUAGUGUGGUGCCUGUGAUUAUGUUAGACUGCUGGAAGAGCAAGCAGUGUCUUCGUGUCGUAGGGGUCUGGCUCCACAUCCGUUUUGGUGUUGUGGCCCUAGUGCCUUUGGGCAGACUGGCUCCUGCUGCAGAGUUGGUCCUAGUCUGGGUACAAACAAU
rnacentral:snoRNA from 1 species